rnacentral:rRNA from 1 species
GACGAACGCUGGCGGCGUGCUUAACACAUGCAAGUCGAGCGGUAAGGCCUCUUCGGGGGUACACGAGCGGCGAACGGGGGAGUAACACGUGGGUGACCUGCCCUCAGCUCUGGGAUAAGCACGGGAAACUGGGUCUAAUACCGGAUAUGACCUUUCCUCGCAUGGGGUUUGGUGGAAAGUUUUUUCGGCUUGGGAUGGGCCGGCGGCCUCUCAGCAUGGUGGUGGGGUGAUGUCCUACCAAGGCGACGACGGGUCGCCGGGCUGAGAGGCCGACCGGCCACACUGGGACUGAGGCACGGCCCAGACUCCUUCGGGAGGCAGCGGUGGGGAAUAUUGCGCAAGCGGCGGAAGUCUGACGCAGCGACGCCGCGUGGGGGAUGACUGCCUUCGGGUUGCAAACCUCUUUCGACCCCGACGAAUUUGGACGGUAGCGGUAGAAGAAGCCCCGGCCAACUACGUG